GAUGAACGCUAGCGGCAGGCCUAAUACAUGCAAGUCGAACGGGUGGUCGCAAGACCACUAGUGGCGCACGGGUGCGUAACGCGUAACCAACCUGCCCCGAUCUGGGGGAUAGCCCGCCGAAAGGCGGAUUAAUACCGCAUAUACCCGCAGCCUGGCAUCAGGCAACGGGGAAAGAUUUAUUGGAUCGGGAUGGGGUUGCGUGACAUUAGCUAGUUGGCGGGGUAAGGGCCCACCAAGGCGACGAUGUCUAGGGGACCUGAGAGGGUGAUCCCCCACACUGGCACUGAGAUACGGGCCAGACUCCUACGGGAGGCAGCAGUAGGGAAUAUUGGGCAAUGGGCGAGAGCCUGACCCAGCCAUGCCGCGUGCCGGAUGAAGGCCUUCUGGGUUGUAAACGGCUUUUCUCAGGGAAGAAAAAGACCUUGCGAGGUACACUGACGGUACCUGAGGAGUAAGCACCGGCUAACUCCGUG
rnacentral:rRNA from 1 species